GCUUGUAGCUCAGUUGGUAGAGCACCCGCCUUUUAAGCGGGUUGUCGCAGGUUCGAACCCCGCCAAGCC
rnacentral:tRNA from 1 species